rnacentral:rRNA from 1 species
GACGAACGCUGGCGGCGUGCUUAACACAUGCAAGUCGAGCGGAAAGGCCUCUUCGGGGGUACUCGAGCGGCGAACGGGUGAGUAACACGUGAGUAAUCUGCCCUUCACUCUGGGAUAGCCACCGGAAACGGUGAUUAAUACCGGAUACGACACGUCCAGGCAUCUGGUGCGUGUGGAAACUUUUUGGGUGGGGGAUGUGCUCGCGGCCUAUCAGCUUGUUGGUGGGGUAAUGGCCUACCAAGGCUUCGACGGGUAGCCGGGCUGAGAGGGUGACCGGCCGCACUGGGUCUGAGACACGGCCCAGACUCCUACGGGAGGCAGCAGUGGGGAAUAUUGGACAAUGCGCGGAAGCCUGAGCCAGCAACGCCGCGUGAGGGAUGACGACCUUCGGGUUGUAAACCUCUUUCAGCACCGACGAAGCGAUCCUUUUGGGGGGUGACGGUAGGUGCAGAAGAAGGACCGGCCAACUACGUGCCAGCCGCCGCGGUAACAC